rnacentral:SRP_RNA from 1 species
GCCGGGCAUGGUGGUGGGUGCCUGUAAUCCCAGCUACUUGGGAGGCUGAGUCAGGAGAAUUGCUUGAACCCAGGAGGUGGAGGUUGCAGUGAGCUGAGUUACGCCACUGCACUUCAGCCUGGGCAACAGAGCAAGACUCCGUCUCAA